rnacentral:tRNA from 1 species
UGUAGCUCAGCGGGCAGAGCUCUUGCCUAGCACGCAAGAAACCCUGGGUUUGAUCCCCAGCA